AAUGUAAUGCCUACAACGUUAAUGCAUCAUAUCCCAUUAGAAAUCCGUAGUUAAGUGAGUUUUGACUAGAGUAGUACUAGGAUGGGUGACCUCUUAGGAAGUCCUAGUGUUUUACAUGC
rnacentral:rRNA from 1 species